rnacentral:lncRNA from 1 species
GUGCAGUUGGGGCUGCACUGGGGGGGGCCGGAGCUGGAGGGGGGCCUAGCAGAGUUGAGGCCUCCUCUGGGCCCAGACAAAAAGGGCCCAGGCACAACCAGGUCCUUGGGGCCCGGGAUGAAGCAGGCCCAGGCCCAGUUGGGGCUGCUUUGGGGCCCAGGAUGGAGGAGGACCGGGUGCAGUUCGGGCUACACUGGAGGGGCCCGAGCUGGAGUCGGGCCUAGAACAGUUGAGGCCUGCUCUUUUCCCAGAUCAAAGGGAUCCCCGGCACAGCCAGGGCCUUGGGGCCCAGGAUGGAGGAGGACCAGGCACAGUGGGGGCUGCUUUGGGGCCCAGGAUGGAGGAGGACCAGGCACAGUGGGGGCUGCUUUGGGGCCCAGGAUGGAGGAGGACCAGGCACAGUUGGGGCUGCUUUGGGGCCCGGGCUGGUGGGAG